UACAGAGGUCCCGAGCGUUGUUCGGAUUCAUUGGGCGUAAAGGGUGCGUAGGCGGCGGGGCAAGUCUGAUGUGAAAUCCCGGGGCUCAACCCCGGAACUGCAUUGGAUACUGCCUUGCUAGAGUACUGGAGAGGGAACUGGAAUUUACGGUGUAGCAGUGAAAUGCGUAGAGAUCGUAAGGAAGGCCAGUGGCGAAGGCGAGUUCCUGGACAGUUACUGACGCUGAGGCACGAAGGCCAGGGGAGCAAAC
rnacentral:rRNA from 1 species